CCGUUGUACUUACGUAAUGAUCAAACCGGUGAUUAACUUCGAAUAAACAGGGAUACUAUGUGAUAAAAACUAUUUUGUUUUAAACUCGAAACGUGGCUAGGAAUCUAUUGGUUUAAAUAUGAUUGUGUGUUUUUCUUAUAAUUUUUUUUCUGUCUGUGAACAACUUUUACCAGGCAGAUCUUCCUCCAAUGUAUAGAGUCUAGUCAUCAUUUCAUGACAUUUCAUGUAGAGUCAUCAUUUCUA